rnacentral:rRNA from 1 species
CCCUUAGAUGUUCUGGGCCGCACGCGCGCUACACUGACGAAUGCAACGAGCUUAUAACCUUGGCCGAAAGGUCUGGGUAAUCUCCAAAUUUCGUCGUGAUGGGGAUAGAUUAUUGCAAUUAUUCAUCUUCAACGAGGAAUUCCUAGUAAACGCAAGUCAUCAGCUUGCAUUGAUUACGUCCCUGCCCUUUGUACACACCGCCCGUCGCACCUACCGAUUGAAUGGUCCGGUGAAAUUCUCGGACGCGGACUUGCGAUGUUAAUUCGGAGCUUGACUGUGAAAGUUAAUUAAACCUUACCAUUUAGAGGAAGGUGAAGUCGUAACA